CCGGGACCAUCCGGUAAGGCUAAAUACUCCCGAGAGACCGAUAGCGAACCAGUACUGUGAAGGAAAGGUGAAAAGCACUUCGAAUAGAAGAGUGAAAUAGUCCCUGAAACCAUGCGCCUACAAGCGGUCGGAGCAGCUUAAGUUGUGACGGCGUGCCUUUUGCAUAAUGAACCUACGAGUUACUUUUUCCGGCAAGGUUAAGCAUCUUGAGAUGUGGAUCCGAAGCGAAAGCGAGUCUGAACAGGGCGGAUAGUCGGAAGGAGUAGACGCGAAACCAAGUGAUCUACCCUUGGGCAGGUUGAAGGUUAGGUAACACUAACUGGAGGACCGAACCGAUAAGCGUUGAAAAGCUUCCGGAUGACCUGAGGGUGGGGGUGAAAGGCUAAUCAAACUUGGAGAUAGCUCGUACUCCCCGAAAUGCAUUUAGGUGCAGCCUUGCGGGUUACUGAUGUGAGGUAGAGCGACUGAUAAGAUGCGAGGGCUUCACCGCCUAUCAAGUCUUGACAAACUCCGAAUGCGCAUCAGUUCUACCGCAGGAGUGAGGGCAUGGGUGCUAAGGUCCGUGCCCGAGAGGAGAAGAAUCCGGACCACCUGCUAAGGUCCCGAAAUGACAGCUAAGUUAAACUAACGAAGUCUGACUGCUAAGACAGCUAGGAUGUUGGCUUGGAAGCAGCCAUUCAUUUAAAGAGUGCGUAACAGCUCACUAGUCGAGGAGUUUGGCGUGGAUAAUAAUCGGGCAUAAGUGUUUUACCGAAGCUAUGGGAUACGUAAGUAUCGGUAGGGGAGCAUUCCACUCAGCGUUGAAGGCGAAGCGUGAGCUUUACUGGAGCGUGUGGAAAAGCAAAUGUAGGUAUAAGUAACGAUAAAGGGGGUGAGAAACCCCCUCGCCGCAAGACUAAGGUUUCCUGAUCAACGCUAAUCGGAUCAGGGUUAGUCGGGUCCUAAGGCUCAGCCGAACGGUGAGGCCGAUGGCAGAACAGGUUAAUAUUCCUGUACUACCUAUAGGAGUGAUGUGGAGACGGAGGAGUGACAACGCCGCGGACUGACGGAAUAGUCCGUUAAAGGGUGUAGAUGUUGAUUAUCCCAGGCAAAUCCGGGAUAAGAGUCGAACCUGACAGUAUACCAAUUUCCUCGGAAAACGGUAAUAGUGCGUGUAAACAUACUCCCAAGAAAAUCCGCUAAACUUAAUCUUAUAGGUACCCGUACCGUAAACGGACACACGUAGUCGGGUUGAAUAUACUCAGGCGCUUGAGUGAAUCACGGUUAAGGAACUAGGCAAAUUGACCCUGUAACUUCGGGAUAAAGGGUCCCUACCCGGUGACGGGAGGGCGCAGAGAAUAGGUCCAGGCAACUGUUUAACAAAAACACAGGGCUGUGCAAAAUUGAAAGAUCACGUAUACAGCCUGACACCUGCCCGGUGCUGGAAGGUUAAGAGGAGAUGUCAUCGCAAGAGAAGCAUUGAAUUGAAGCCCCAGUAAACGGCGGCCGUAACUAUAACGGUCCUAAGGUAGCGAAAUUCCUUGUCGGGU
rnacentral:rRNA from 1 species